GUGUUCGGUUAAUCCUUUAACGAGCGAAACCCCUAUUGCUAGUUGCCAGCGGUUCGGCCGGGGACUCUAGCAAGACUGCCGCGUUCAAGUUGGAGGAAGGUGGGGACGACGUCAAGUCAUCAUGGCCCUUAUGAUCUGGGCUACACACGUCCUACAAUGGAUGGUACAGAGGGCAGCCAAGCCGCGAGGCGGAGCCAAUCCCUUAAAGCCAUCCUCAGUUCAGAUUGCAGGCUGCAAUUCGCCUGCAUGAAGCCGGAAUCGCUAGUAAUCGCGGGUCAGCUACACCGCGGNGAAUCUGUUCCUGAGCCUUGUACACA
rnacentral:rRNA from 1 species